rnacentral:rRNA from 1 species
UACGGAGGGUGCGAGCGUUAAUCGGAAUUACUGGGCGUAAAGGGUGCGUAGGUUGUUGAUUAAGUUAUCUUUGAAAUGCCUGGGCUUAACCUGGGCAGGUGAGAUGAUACUGGUUAACUGGAGUAUGGGAGAGGGUAGUGGAAUUUCCGGUGUAGCGGUGAAAUGCGUAGAGAUCGGAAGGAACACCAGUGGCGAAGGCGGCUACCUGGCCUGAUACUGACACUGAGGCACGAAAGCGUGGGGAGCAAACAGG